UAAUAAAAAAAUAAGUUCAAAGAUUAGAAUCUUCUGUGAUAGUAUAACUCUAAAAGUGUUCAAGAGAACAGAUUAAUAGAGUGAAUGUAAUUAUAGGACGAGAAAUCAUUUUUAAAAAUUAAGUCUUACUUCAUUUAGGUAGCAUGACAGCUAGAUGUCAGAUGCUUUAUUUUUCUCGCCAUGCAAAUUAUACCCACGAAUCUGCUAAAGAUGUGUUGGUCUUAAUGUUAAGACACAAUUUCCCACAAAACUGAAGCAUUGUGAGUUCUAUACUGAGAGGCGUUUGGUCAAAAUGUAUGCUAGACCAUUCUUUGUUCAAAGGAGACUCAGGAAAUGGUCAUCAACAUAACGCAGAGAUUCACGCUCUACAGAAAACUGAACGGUUGACCCGUUUCUCUGAGGUGCUACUCUGGCUUGGUCUGCUUGAUGAAUGAAUGAGUGAAAAUAUGAAUAAAUGAAUGAGUUACCUUUAUGUAUGACUUUUUGGCUCUGUAAAAA